UGAACAGUGAGGGUGAGAGGCCCAUAGUCCCCUCUCUGUGCUGUAAGUGUAAGCAGGAUCUUGCAGUGUGGUGCUGAGAGCUGAAGGAGGUGCCUGAGGAAGAGAGAAAAACCGCAGGGAAAUGACAGCAAAGCCUUCUUUUAUAGAACAGAGAAUUACAGGCCAGCUGCAAGAGAGAGUGUAGCACUGAUACUGUUGGGCAGUAGAAGUGUUUGUGAAGACAGGACAUGAUACUAACAAUAAGUAGGAAGAAGAAAAGUGAGAAAAGAGAGAAGACAGGAAGAAAGGAAAAGGAAGAGGAAGAGGAAAAGGAAAAGGAAGAAAGAGGAAGAAAUCAAGGCAACAGAGAAGGAGUAUCCUGCUAUUGCACUGUGAUCACAUAUGAAAGCUAUCAUGUUAAUAAAUCAAAAAUUCCCACUGUAGACCAUGGUAAAUGACUACUAUAUGAUUCAAUUUUAGUAGGAGAGAUAAAUAAUAGUGUAGACAGAUGCAAUAGUAUUGCAACUAAAUAAUGGGUUGAAAUCAACUCUACAGCAAAUAUAUCUUACAAGCUGAAACAUUUGGGGAAACAUAAUCUGAAACACUGGAUUCACAGGAGUGAAUCACACAGAAAAUGGAAAAGAACUAUCUGCAAGGAAGCAGUAAUGCUAAAAGGACUUCUCUAACGAAAAGAUACAUUCUUGGUGUCUCCAGAGACUUGUGUUUCCAGAGACCGGUGUCUUAUGCAAAAGUGUAAAGGGAGAACUCAGCAAGACCAAAGUGGGGAGAAUCUCAUGAAGACUGACUACCUUAAUGACGUGCCUUUAUGGGCCACAUCUUCUCAUCUGUCUACCAAAUAAAGAAAGUACAGCAGUAGCCUAUGUUAUUGAAAGACUAGAAAACUCUAAGACUAAGGUAUCAUCUUAUUCAAAGUCUUAUGAAAUCGACAAGACCAGUAUCAUGAGCAAGCCAGGCACGAUUAGAUUUUAAGGAGUAUUUCUAAGUGAAACUUAGAUUUCUCCAGGCAAUGUGCUUCACUGAAUCACUGAACUUGGACUAAGAAAUAAUACUGAUCAUAUUUCCAACUUCCUACCCCCAAAAUCUUGAUUGUGCUCCUGCCUCUGUAUACUUUCAUUCCUUUUCUUUCUUAUUUAUUUAAUUUGGAAAUCCUUCAAUAUAGAAAAUUAGCCAAGGACAAGGAGACAUGGUUUUGGAUGGAAUUUCUAGGUGCACUUAGCACACAGCAAUAAAUCUUGAACAUAAAAUUUAUUCACAGUGUAGGCUACUUAUUAUCAGUCAAGUCUAAACUCCAUUCUUAUCACUUUGGCUCUUUUGGUUUUAGUCAUAUAAAUACAGUUUGAGUAACGUUAUGUUCAUGAGGGAUAUUAUUAUUAUUUUUUUAGCUGGAUUUGAACAAAACAUUGUAACUGCUCUACUUUGCCACAGAUGCAAUUUUCCACUGUAAUUGUGCCCAAUAUUCUAUUAUAAGUUCUCUUAUAUAAACUAAUUAGUAUUCUAGAUGUAGUGCAACACUGAUACUUAUGCAGGAAGCAAACUCACCCAGGAAGUUUAUAGAGUACAAGAUUCUAUUAGGAACGUCCCUAAAAUAUUCUGUUAAUGCAAUUCAAUUAAACAAUUUUAAACAGAAUUAUCAUGUGGCCUUGGACAUCUGUGGUUAGCACAACACAACACAUAAAAUACUGAAUUCUAAGGAAAAUAUUGUUUUGUCAGUUAGAAGCACAAAGCAUGAAUUUCCACAGAGGCGAGAUUAUGGGAGAUUAAUCUUUCAGAGCUACAAGAUGACAUAUGCAGUCAGCAUGCAGACUAGCAUGUGUACUAUAAGCACUGAAAAAGAAAAGAAUUUCUUCAGAAGUCUGUGCUUUGUUCCUUAAAAGCCAUUCCUUUUAUAAUAUCUUUUUGCACCUUUUCUAUCAAACAAAUUCAAGAAACCUAGUGCAACUGGCAUUUACAAUACAAUUCACCAUCGACAGUCACCUAAUCAAAUGGUAGAUACUUGAAGAUGUUUUUAUUAAAUAUCUUAUGUCAUAUUGAAAUUGUAUCAUUUGGAUGAUGAUGCAAAAUUAAAAAGUUAAACAAUAUUCUUAGUUAUAUUUGCAGUUUCAAUGAGUUUUUCUCAUAGUUGCUUAAGUGUAAAGAAUGCCAGGCCACCUACUCUCCUUGCUUGGAGUCACGUUGGGGCUCACGCUCCACCAAAACCUCAUAUGGUUUUAGGUCUAUUUUCUCUACCUCUGAAUGACACCCACUUUCUCAUACAGCCUUAUCCCUUCUGCACUAACUUUUCCUCUGACCCAACUCUCUCCAUCUAAUCCAAAUUAUGAGCUAGUCUCCACCUUAUCUUCUAGCAUUUCUGAUUUCCACUUAAAUAAAACAUUUCCUAAACUGAACUGCUGGGGAGGCAUCCUUCAUGCCAUGGAAAAAGGCUGGCAGAGCAUCAAAAGGCCCCAAACUAUUGUAUCUGAUGGUGCUGCAGUAGAGGGAGCAACGCUGGUCUGAAGACAGGAAGCUCCUCAGAGACAGCAGAACGUUCUCUGCCCUGAGUUACAAUUUUUCCUCUUCACUUAUCAUAGGGGAUUUCCCAGCUCUUUUUGAGUUUUUUUUGUCAUUGGUUUCAGACUCUCCUAAUCAAAGACUAUUGAAGUAAAGGGCAUUAAAUUUCAAAUGUAUGAGAAAUACAUUAGUGUGCCUAAGUUCUUUGCUACAAUUAUG
ensembl:lncRNA